GAUGAACGCUAGCUACAGGCUUAACACAUGCAAGUCGAGGGGCAGCACAGUGUAGCAAUACAUGGGUGGCGACCGGCGCACGGGUGCGUAACGCGUAUCCAACCUUCCCGAUACUCAGGGAUAGCCUUCCGAAAGGGAGAUUAAUACCUGAUGGUGUUCAAAUUCCGCAUGUUAUUUGAACUAAAGAUUUAUCGGUAUCGGAUGGGGAUGCGUGACAUUAGAUAGUAGGCGGGGUAACGGCCCACCUAGUCUACGAUGUCUAGGGGUUCUGAGAGGAAGGUCCGCCACACUGGAACUGAGACACGGUCCAGACUCCUACGGGAGGCAGCAGUGAGGAAUAUUGGUCAAUGGUCGGAAGACUGAACCAGCCAAGUAGCGUGAAGGAUGAAGGUUCUAUGGAUUGUAAACUUCUUUUAUACGGGAAUAAAACCUCCCACGUGUGGGAGCUUGUACGUACCGUAUGAAUAAGCAUCGGCUAACUCCGUGCCAGCCGCCGCCGUAAGAC
rnacentral:rRNA from 1 species